UUUGCAAGCCUAAAGCUUCUGUUGCAAGCUCACCCAGAAUGUCCUCUGCAUCAUAAGCCAACUCCUGGAGAUCAUCGAGCCACAACUUAGCUGCAUCACCGGUCAGUUGCUUCUCACCCGCAUCAAUAGGCAAGGCCUAAAUCGUCUUCAAAUAUUUUUCCAGCUUUUUCAGCUUCGGAAUUAAACCCUCUUGUCUUGCAGCUCAGGGGAUGUCAAUUUGUCAAACAGAGCUGAAAGUAACGCGCUUAAAAACAUCUCUACCAAAGCCAUGGUUUAUGGGAGGAAUAUCCAGAUGGAUUAUAUCACACAGAAGUUAUGAUGAUCGUGAGGUUACGAGACUAUUUGCCUCUGCAAUUCACCUUCACGCAUGAAUGCAUGAAUUAAUAAAUAAAUUAAAUAGAAGGUUUUCAUCUCUUGAAUUCCUGUUGUUUCUGAAAGUAAUUUAUAGAUCAGAAAUUUCAAAAAUACUUUUCUUUAAAUCAAUUGAAAUUAUAUUUUUGAUCACUCAAGUGCCUACCCAUCACACAAGU
rnacentral:lncRNA from 1 species